UACAGAGGUCUCAAGCGUUGUUCGGAUUCAUUGGGCGUAAAGGGUGCGUAGGCGGCGCGGUAAGUCGGGUGUGAAAUCUCGGGGCUUAACUCCGGGCCUGCAGUGGGUACGGGCAGACUAGAGUGCGGUAGGGGAGACUGGAAUUCCUGGUGUAGCGGUGAAAUGCGCAGAUAUCAGGAGGAACACCGGUGGCGAAGGCGGGUCUCUGGGCCGUAACUGACGCUGGAGGAGCGAAAGCGUGGGGAGCGAACAGG
rnacentral:rRNA from 1 species